UACAAAGGGAACUGCAAAAUAACCAAAAACUGAACCAAGGAAACACAAGCAGAAAACUAACAUGAAACUCAAAACAGGUGAACAAAACAA